rnacentral:rRNA from 1 species
AGAACGAACGCUGGCGGCAUGCCUAAUACAUGCAAGUCGAACGAACUCUUCGGAGUUAGUGGCGCACGGGUGCGUAACGCGUGGGAAUCUGCCCUUGGGUUCGGAAUAACAGUUGGAAACGACUGCUAAUACCGGAUGAUGACGAAAGUCCAAAGAUUUAUCGCCCAGGGAUGAGCCCGCGUAGGAUUAGCUAGUUGGUGAGGUAAAGGCUCACCAAGGCGACGAUCCUUAGCUGGUCUGAGAGGAUGAUCAGCCACACUGGGACUGAGACACGGCCCAGACUCCUACGGGAGCAGCAGUAGGGAAUAUUGGACAAUGGGCGAAAGCCUGAUCCAGCAAUCGCCGCGUGAGUGAUGAAGGCCUUAGGGUUGUAAGCUCUUUACCCGAGAUGAUAAUGACAGUAGUCGGAGAA